AACGCGAAGAACCUUACCUGGGUUUGACAUGGCCGCAAAACUUCCAGAGAUGGGGGGUCCUUCGGGGGCGGUCACAGGUGGUGCAUGGCUGUCGUCAGCUCGUGUCGUGAGAUGUUGGGUUAAGUCCCGCAACGAGCGCAACCCUUAUCCCAUGUUGCCAGCGGGUUAUGCCGGGGACUCAUGGGAGACUGCCGGGGUCAACUCGGAGGAAGGUGGGGAUGACGUCAAGUCAUCAUGCCCCUUAUGUCCAGGGCUUCACGCAUGCUACAAUGGCCGGUACAAACCGUUGCGAGCCCGUGAGGGGGAGCGAAUCGGAAAAAGCCGGUCUCAGUUCGGAUCGGGGUCUGCAACUCGACCCCGUGAAGUCGGAGUCGCUAGUAAUCGCAGAUCAGCAUCG
rnacentral:rRNA from 1 species